rnacentral:rRNA from 1 species
UACGUAGGGACCGAGCGUUGUCCGGAAUCAUUGGGCGUAAAGAGCGUGUAGGCGGCCACUUAAGUCCUGCGUGAAAUCCUGCGGCUCAACCGCAGGCGGUCGUGGGAAACUGGGUGGCUAGAGUGCGGGAGAGGAGAGUGGAAUUCCUGGUGUAGCGGUGAAAUGCGCAGAUAUCAGGAGGAACACCAAUUGCGAAGGCAGCUCGCUGGAACGUAACUGACGCUGAGACGCGAAAGCGUGGGGAGCAAACAGG